rnacentral:rRNA from 1 species
CCGUAGGUGAACCUGCGGAAGGAUCAUUACAGAAAGUAAACGCGGAUCAAACCGCGAACUUCUAAACCUUUGACGAUUGACUCAUGUUGCCUCGGCGGGUUCUCCCGCCAGAGGAUACAUCAAAACUCCUGUUUUAACGGUGUUGUCUGAGCUACAAGCAACGAAUCAAAACUUUCAACAACGGAUCUCUUGGUUCUGGCAUCGAUGAAGAACGCAGCGAAAUGCGAUAAGUAGUGUGAAUUGCAGAAUUCAGUGAAUCAUCGAAUCUUUGAACGCACAUUGCGCCCCUUGGUAUCCCGAGGGGCAUGCCUGUUCGAGCGUCAUUUCACCACUCAAGCCUGGCUUGGUGUUGGGCGACGUCCCCUUGGGGACGCGCCUCGAAACGCUCGGCGGCGUGGCACCGGCUUUAAGCGUAGCAGAAUCUUUCGCUUCAAAAGUCGGGGCCCCGUCUGCCGGAAGACCUACUCGCAAGGUUGACCUC